AUUGAACGCUGGCGGCAGGCCUAACACAUGCAAGUCGAACGGUAGCACAGAGAGCUUGCUCUCGGGUGACGAGUGGCGGACGGGUGAGUAAUGUCUGGGAAACUGCCCGAUGGAGGGGGAUAACUACUGGAAACGGUAGCUAAUACCGCAUAACGUCGCAAGACCAAAGUGGGGGACCUUCGGGCCUCACACCAUCGGAUGUGCCCAGAUGGGAUUAGCUAGUAGGUGGGGUAAUGGCUCACCUAGGCGACGAUCCCUAGCUGGGCUGAGAGGAUGACCAGCCACACUGGAACUGAGACACGGUCCAGACUCCUACGGGAGGCAGCAGUGGGGAAGAUUGCGCAAGGGGCGCAAGCCUGAUGCAGCCAUGCCGCGUGUAUGAAGAAGGCCUUCGGGUUGUAAAGUACUUUCAGCGGGGAGGAAGGCGGUGAAGUUAAUAACUUCACCGAUUGACGUUACCCGCAGAAGAAGCACCGGCUAACUCCGUGCAGCCGCCGCCGUAA
rnacentral:rRNA from 1 species